GGCGAGGGGAGUGAAAAAGAACCUGAAACCGUGUACGUACAAGCAGUGGGAGCACAGGUUUACCUGUGUGACUGCGUACCUUUUGUAUAAUGGGUCAGCGACUUAUAUUCUGUAGCAAGGUUAACCGUAUAGGGGAGCCGCAGGGAAACCGAGUCUUAACCGGGCGUUAAGUUGCAGGGUAUAGACCCGAAACCCGGUGAUCUAGCCAUGGGCAGGUUGAAGGUUGGGUAACACUAACUGGAGGACCGAACCGACUAAUGUUGAAAAAUUAGCGGAUGACCUGUGGCU
rnacentral:rRNA from 2 species